GACGAACGCUGGCGGCGUGCUUAACACAUGCAAGUCGAGCGGAAAGGCCACUUCGGUGGUACUCGAGCGGCGAACGGGUGAGUAACACGUGAGUAAUCUGCCCCUGGCUUUGGGAUAGCCACCGGAAACGGUGAUUAAUACCGGAUACGACCACUUCUCGCAUGGGAUGGUGGUGGAAAGUUUUUUCGGCCAGGGAUGUGCUCGCGGACUAUCAGCUUGAUGGUGAGGUAAUGGCUCACCAUGGCUUCGGCGGGUAGCCGGCCUGAGAGGGUGACCGGUCACACUGGGACUGAGACACGGCCCAGACUCCUACGGGAGGCAGCAGUGGGGAAUAUUGGACAAUGGGCGGAAGCCUGAUCCAGCAACGCCGCGUGAGGGAUGACGGCCUUCGGGUUGUAAACCUCUUUCAGCAGGGACGAAGCGCAAGUGACGGUACCUGCAGAAGAAGCACCGGCCAACUACGUGCCAGCCGCCGCGGUAA
rnacentral:rRNA from 1 species